UACGUAGGGUGCGAGCAUUAAUCGGAAUUACUGGGCGUAAAGCGUGCGCAGGCGGCUUUGCAAGACAGAUGUGAAAUCCCCGGGCUCAACCUGGGAACUGCAUUUGUGACUGCAAGGCUAGAGUACGGCAGAGGGGGAUGGAAUUCCGCGUGUAGCAGUGAAAUGCGUAGAUAUGCGGAGGAACACCAAUGGCGAAGGCAAUCCCCGGGGCCUGUACUGACGCUCAUGCACGAAAGCGUGGGGAGCAAACAGG
rnacentral:rRNA from 1 species